rnacentral:rRNA from 1 species
GACGAACGCCGGCGGCGUGCUUAACACAUGCAAGUCGAACGGUGAACCUCUUCGGAGGGGAUCAGUGGCGAACGGGUGAGUAACACGUGGGCAACCUGCCCCCGGCUCUGGGAUAACUCCAAGAAAUUGAGGCUAAUACCGGAUGUUCACCGCUUCCCGCAUGGGUGGUGGUGGAAAGGGUUUCCGGCUGGGGAUGGGCCCGCGGCCUAUCAGCUUGUUGGUGGGGUAGUGGCCUACCAAGGCGACGACGGGUAGCCGGCCUGAGAGGGUGACCGGCCACACUGGGACUGAGACACGGCCCAGACUCCUACGGGAGGCAGCAGUGGGGAAUAUUGCGCAAUGGGCGGAAGCCUGACGCAGCGACGCCGCGUAGGGGAUGACGGCCUUCGGGUUGUAAACCUCUUUCAGCAGGGACGAAGCGCAAGUGACGGUACCUGCAGAAGAAGCACCGGCCAACUACGUG